rnacentral:rRNA from 1 species
ACGAACGCUGGCGGCGUGCUUAACACAUGCAAGUCGAACGGUGAAGGGACCGGUUUUUGCUGGUUCUGGAUGAGUGGCGAACGGGUGAGUAACACGUGAGUAACCUGCCCCCUUCUUCUGGAUAACCGCAUGAAAGUGUGGCUAAUACGGGAUAUUCUGCGCCUGCUGCAUGGUGGGUGUGGGAAAGAUAUUGUUUCGGUGGGGGAUGGGCUCGCGGCCUAUCAGCUUGUUGGUGGGGUGAUGGCCUACCAAGGCGGUGACGGGUAGCCGGCCUGAGAGGGUGGACGGUCACACUGGGACUGAGACACGGCACAGACUCCUACGGGAGGCAGCAGUGGGGAAUAUUGCACAAUGGGCGCAAGCCUGAUGCAGCGACGCCGCGUGAGGGAUGGAGGCCUUCGGGUUGUAAACCUCUUUCGCCAGUGAAGCAGGCCUGUCCCUUUUGUGGGUGGGUUGACGGUAGCUGGAGAAGAAGCGCCGGCUAACUACGUG